rnacentral:rRNA from 1 species
AUUGAACGCUGGCGGCAGGCCUAACACAUGCAAGCCGAACGAGUGGCGGACGGGUGAGUAAUGUCUGGGAAACUGCCUGAUGGAGGGGGAUAACUACUGGAAACGGUAGCUAAUACCGCAUCCCAUCAGAUGUGCCCAGAUGGGAUUAGCUAGUAGGUGGGGUAACGGCUCACCUAGGCGACGAUCCCUAGCUGGUCUGAGAGGAUGACCAGCAACACGGGAACUGAGACACGUUCCAGAAUCCUACGGGAGGCAGCAGUGGGGAAUAUUGCACGAUGGGCGGAAGCCUGAUGCAGCCAUGCCGGUUGUAUGAAGAAGGCCUUCGGGUUGUAAAGUACUUUCAGCGGGGAGGCGUUACCCGCAGAAGAAGCAGCGGCUAACACCGUGCCAGCAGCCGGGGUAAUAC